UCUACUGCUGUUUGUGACUUGAGUGGGUUUAAGAUGGCAGUAGCGAUGUUGCUGGUUAGUGGACUGAUUCUGCACAAGAAGAAGAAGAGGAGUGUUUUUGGUCAUUCGUCAUUUGGUUUUUGGGACUCGGAAAUUUAUCAGUGAUGGGAAUCCUUCUUUUGACUGUUUCUUAUCCAAUUUCUUAUCCAAAACCUUUGGUACAUUCAACUUCGGAUCUAAUGUUGUAUUGGUUGAUAGGGGGAAAUCGGCAUACAUUUGCAAUGUACAUGAAUGAAGUCUCUGGGAUGAUGAAACAGAUGUUUAAGAAUGGUCAUUGGCCAGACAGCGGUAGUCUUGAAAGCCUUCCCAUAUGUUGAUUCAAAAUUGUAUCUAAUGUGGUUUAAGGGAGUGGAAAACAUUGGAGUAACAUUAGGGGAAAUCGGCUUUUGACUUAUUGCCCAAGAUAUAUGGAAUGAUGUUUCAGUUGAUGCGAAAUCAGUUGAUACUCUAAUGAGUAGUUAGUGUAGCUGAGCUGGCUGUUGAAUGGGGUGAACAGAAUAUCAUUAUCAGCUCAGAUUCUAAAACUGUGAUAUCAGAUUUUACCAGAAAUCAGGUCCCUUGGUUCAUCAGAAUGAGAUGGUUAAGAGCAGCCAAGAAAAUCUCCUCAAUUCAAUUUCAUCACUGUUAUAGAGAGGUAAAUUUCUCAGCGGACACAGUAGCAAAAAGAGCUGCUAGACUAAAUGCAGGAUACCAAAACUCAUCAAGGAGCUCAAGGAUUUUUUGAUUCAAGCAUGUAAAGAAAAGGACAUUGAAGGUGACUUGAGAAUUCUUUUGAAUGAGCAAGCGAAGGAUGGAGGAAUCUUAGUCAUCAAGCAUGUGAAUAAUUUCCCUCCUGAGCAUCUGCCUCCACUUUAUAAUAUACUCUUCAAUGAAGUGACACAGGCAACAAAACAUCAGAUUUAAGGUUUAUCUACUGGUUACCCGAGUUUACAAGCUUAAUGAUGCCAAACGACGAAAAGGUGUUACAAAAAGUGAUAUUGAUGAACCAAUAAUAUAUCUAACCUCAUGGACCUUCACCUUCCCUCUACGAUCUCGGCCAACUGAUGUGAUGCAGAACUACAAACCCAUGGGGACUAGUCAUGGCCCUAGAAGCAAAAAAAGUUUAGACUUUUCAGAAAGAGCUGCAAUCUCUAAUUAGUGAUACGACGGGACAUUAAAAGCAAUGGUGUAGCUGCAAUCCCUACUACAAGUGUGUUUUGAAGUCUUUUAAAUAAGUGUUUUUCAUUAUGUUGGAAAUCAAGUUUCUAACGUUAUUGUACAAAUAUCACGUUUCUAAAAGUUAAAAUGCCUUUUAGACGUGAUGUAAAUUUUGAGCCAUAAACAAAGAAUACUCACAUUGUUCCUUGCAGCUAUGAACUCUGUGUUUC